rnacentral:rRNA from 1 species
GACGAACGCUGGCGGCGUGCCUAACACAUGCAAGUCGAACGGAACUGUUUUGAAAGAUUUCUUCGGAAUGAAUUUGAUUUAGUUUAGUGGCGGACGGGUGAGUAACGCGUGAGUAACCUGCCUUCAAGAGGGGGAUAACAUUCUGAAAAGAAUGCUAAUACCGCAUGAUAUAUCGGAACCACAUGGUUUUGAUAUCAAAGAUUUUAUCGCUUGAAGAUGGACUCGCGUCCGAUUAGUUAGUUGGUGAGGUAACGGCUCACCAAGACCGCGAUCGGUAGCCGGACUGAGAGGUUGAACGGCCACAUUGGGACUGAGACACGGCCCAGACUCCUACGGGAGGCAGCAGUGGGGGAUAUUGCGCAAUGGGGGCAACCCUGACGCAGCAACGCCGCGUGAAGGAUGAAGGUUUUCGGAUUGUAAACUUCUUUUAUUAAGGACGAAAAAUGACGGUACUUAAUGAAUAAGCU